AUACGUAGGGGGCGAGCGUUGUCCGGAUUUACUGGGCGUAAAGGGUGAGUAGGCGGUUAUAUAAGUCAGAUGUAAAAGGCACAGGCUUAACUUGUGUAAGCAUUUGAAACUGUAUAACUUGAGUGCAGGAGAGGUAAGUGGAAUUCCUAGUGUAGCGGUGAAAUGCGUAGAUAUUAGGAGGAACACCAGUGGCGAAGGCGACUUACUGGACUGUAACUGACGCUGAGUCACGAAAGCGUGGGUAGCAAACAGGAUUAGAUACCCUGGUAGUCCACGCUGUAAACGAUGAGUGCUAGGUGUUGGGUAGCGAUACUCAGUGCCGAAGUAAACACAAUAAGCACUCCGCCUGGGGAGUACGGUCGCAAGACUGAAACUCAAAUGAAUUGGCGGGG
rnacentral:rRNA from 1 species